rnacentral:lncRNA from 1 species
GACAGCGAUGGUGACUGUAUAGAGAUGAGAGGUCAGACUUAGGGGAGGCUGGAAGCUCCGAGGCAAGUGUGUGUGCGCGCUGACGGUCACACCAGACCGCCCGGGGAUGUCUGCCACAAUAUUUAGACCCCUGAGGGCCACUGAGAACGCCUGGCAGUGCCAAGAGGACCAGCCCCUGGGCCCUCUGGCCCCCAACUCUCAACCCACUAGCCCUGGGGCUGGCGGGUGGCCACUCACGUCCUGGAACCCUGAGCUGCUCUCAGGCCGGUGACUUUGGACCAAUGUUGGCAAUCUGUGGGUUUGCACCAAACCACACAGGUGAGUCAGACUUCUGUACAGAGAGCAGGGAAGGGGCACGACAGGGUGAAGUCCAGACCAGGGCAAUGUGUACCCCGGCUGUUCAGCCUUUGAGUGCGGCUGUCGCAGCAAUCAAGGUGGGCUCCCUGGUGGAGGUGGACAGCAGCUGCUGGAGAGCCCGGAGGGCAGCCAGGACCGUGUCAGACGGCAGGAGUCGGGCGGGGCCACUCCAGGCACCGGCCAGCAGGGCAGAGGUACCAGGGAGGGCCCUCGGGCUGCGGGCGUGAGGUCAGAGCCCAGGGUGAGGAGGAAGCAUCUCCAGCCAGGUGCGCUCUCGGCCCCCGCCGGGGCUGCGAGGCUGGGGGCGCUGCCGCUGCGAGGGCUUCCAGAGGAGCCGGCGCUACCUCCCCGCGCGCCCGGCCACGUGCGCGACGGGAUGCGCAGACAGCCGGGGACGCAGACUGGCGGCGUGUGUCACCUCGAGGCCGCG